UACGUAGGGUGCAAGCGUUGUCCGGAAUUAUUGGGCGUAAAGAGCUCGUAGGCGGUCUGUCGCGUCGGCUGUGAAAUCCCGAGGCUCAACCCCGGGUCUGCAGUCGAUACGGGCAAACUGGAGUGUUGCAGGGGAGACUGGAAUUCCUGGUGUAGCGGUGAAAUGCGCAGAUAUCAGGAGGAACACCGGUGGCGAAGGCGGGUCUCUGGGCAACAACUGACGCUGAGGAGCGAAAGCGUGGGGAGCGAACAGG
rnacentral:rRNA from 1 species